rnacentral:rRNA from 1 species
GGACUACCCGGGUUUCUAAUCCGGUUCGCUACCCUAGCUUUCGGGUCUCAGCGUCAGGAUCGGCCCAGUCGGCCGCCUUCGCCACUGGUGUUCUAUCCGAUAUCUGUCCAUUUCACCGGUACACCGGAUAUUCCACCGACCUCUACCGUCCUCAAGUCCAUCAGUAUCAGAUGCAGUUCCACGGUUGAGCCGUAGGAUUUCACAUCUGACUUAAAGGACCGCCUACACCCGCUUUACGCCCAGUGAAUCCGGGCAACGCUCGCCCCCUACGUUUUACCGCGGCGGCUGGCAC